GACGAACGCUGGCGGCGUGCCUAACACAUGUAAGUCGCACGGGACUGGAGGGCAACUUCCAGUUCAGUGGCAGACGGGUGCGUAACACGUGAGAAACUUGUCCAACGGCGGGGGAUAGCCGGCCCAACGGCCGGGUAAUACCGCGUACGAUCAUUCGGGGGCAUCCCUGAAUGAAGAAAGCAGCCGCAAGGUUGCGCCGAUGGAGAGUCUCGCGGCCUAUCAGCUAGNGGCGGGGUAACGGCCCACCAAGGCAACGACGGGUAGCUGGUCUGAGAGGAUGGCCAGCCACAUUGGGACUGAGGCACGGCCCAGACUCCUACGGGAGGCAGCAGUGGGGAAGUCUUGCGCAAUGGCCGCAAGGCUGACGCAGCGACGCCGCGUGU
rnacentral:rRNA from 1 species